UGUUCAGAUCAGUAUCCCAGGCCUCGUUAAUUCCACUGCGUACCCCUCAUCAAGCACUGCGCACCACAAGGACUAUGGAGUGAGCCCAGAGACUGUAGCUCCUGGGCAGGGGGGCAGUUCUGUAUAGGGAAAGGACCCCUGGCAGCAACAAGCCAGUAUGAUGUGGAUUUUAAGCCCAGGUUGCCCACUGCCUGCUGGUGGAGCAGUGUGAGGAAAUCCAGGAGCCAGACAGCACUGGAUUAACACGGCUGCUACUCAGGAAGUAAAUUGGGAUUCGAAAAUAAGGAAAAAGGAACUUGGAUUUAAGCUUGCUAGAAGUUCACCCCAAUAAACAUCAAAUUGUUUGCA